rnacentral:rRNA from 1 species
UACGGAGGGAACUAGCGUUGUUCGGAAUUACUGGGCGUAAAGCGUGCGUAGUCGGUUAUCUAAGUCGGGUGUGAAAUCCCCGGGCUCAACCUGGGAAUUGCAUUCGAUACUGGAUAGCUAGAGUUCGGCAGAGGGAAGCGGAAUUUCGGGUGUAGCGGUGAAAUGCGUAGAUAUCCGAAGGAACAUCAGUGGCGAAGGCGGCUUCCUGGACCAGAACUGACGAUCAGGCACGAAAGCGUGGGGAGCAAACAGG